CGAAGGGGGCUAGCGUUGCUCGGAAUUACUGGGCGUAAAGGGCGCGUAGGCGGACAUUUAAGUCAGAGGUGAAAGCCCAGGGCUCAACCUUGGAAUUGCCUUUGAUACUGGAUGUCUUGAGUUCGGGAGAGGUGAGUGGAAUGCCGAGUGUAGAGGUGAAAUUCGUAGAUAUUCGGCGGAACACCAGUGGCGAAGGCGACUCACUGGCCCGAUACUGACGCUGAGGCGCGAAAGCGUGGGGAGCAAACAGGAUUAGAUACCCUGGUAGUCCACGCCGUAAACGAUGAGUGCUAGUUGUCGGCAUGCAUGCAUGUCGGUGACGCAGCUAACGCAUUAAGCACUCCGCCUGGGGAGUACGGUCGCAAGAUUA
rnacentral:rRNA from 1 species